GACGAACGCUGGCGGCAGGCCUAACACAUGCAAGUCGAACGGUAACAGGAAGAAGCUUGCUUCUUUGCUGACGAGUGGCGGACGGGUGAGUAAUGUCUGGGAAACUGCCUGAUGGAGGGGGAUAACUACUGGAAACGGUAGCUAAUACCGCAUAACGUCGCAAGACCAAAGAGGGGGACCUUCGGGCCUCUUGCCAUCGGAUGUGCCCAGAUGGGAUUAGCUAGUAGGUGGGGUAACGGCUCACCUAGGCGACGAUCCCUAGCUGGUCUGAGAGGAUGACCAGCCACACUGGAACUGAGACACGGUCCAGACUCCUACGGGAGGCAGCAGUGGGGAAUAUUGCACAAUGGGCGCAAGCCUGAUGCAGCCAUGCCGCGUGUAUGAAGAAGGCCUUCGGGUUGUAAAGUACUUUCAGCGGGGAGGAAGGGAGUAAAGUUAAUACCUUUGCUCAUUGACGUUACCCGCAGAAGAAGCACCGGCUAACUCCGUGCCAGCAGCCGCGGUAAUACGGAGGGUGCAAGCGUUAAUCGGAAUUACUGGGCGUAAAGCGCACGCAGGCGGUUUGUUAAGUCAGAUGUGAAAUCCCCGGGCUCAACCUGGGAACUGCAUCUGAUACUGGCAAGCUUGAGUCUCGUAGAGGGGGGUAGAAUUCCAGGUGUAGCGGUGAAAUGCGUAGAGAUCUGGAGGAAUACCGGUGGCGAAGGCGGCCCCCUGGACGAAGACUGACGCUCAGGUGCGAAAGCGUGGGGAGCAAACAGGAUUAGAUACCCUGGUAGUCCACGCCGUAAACGAUGUCGACUUGGAGGUUGUGCCCUUGAGGCGUGGCUUCCGGAGCUAACGCGUUAAGUCGACCGCCUGGGGAGUACGGCCGCAAGGUUAAAACUCAAAUGAAUUGACGGGGGCCCGCACAAGCGGCGGAGCAUGCGGAUUAAUUCGAUGCAACGCGAAGAACCUUACCAAGGCUUGACAUGCACGGCGGCACUGCAGAGAUGUGGUGGCAUUUAGUUGGUCGUGUGCGGGUGGUGCAUGGUUGUCGUCAGCUCGUGUCGUGAGAUGUUGGGUUAAGUCCCGCAACGAGCGCAACCCUUGCCCUAUGUUGCCAGCACGUGAUGGUGGGGACUCGUGGGGGACUGCCGGGGUUAACUCGGAGGAAGGUGGGGAAGACGUCAAAUCAUCAUGCCCCUUAUGUCUUGGGCUUCACGCAUGCUACAAUGGCUGGUACAGAGGGUUGCGAUACUGUGAGGUGGAGCGAAUCCCUUAAAGCCAGUCUCAGUUCGGAUUGGGGUCUGCAACUCGACCUCAUGAAGUCGGAGUCGUUAGUAAUCGCAGAUCAGCAACGCUGCGGUGAAUACGUUCCCGGGGCU
rnacentral:rRNA from 1 species